GGGAACAUGGCCCACACAGCCCUGUGGACCCUGACGAGGAUGUGGGCAAUGCAAUACGGUCCUUUGUGUCCACUGUCAUAACAAAAGCUCUAGCCUGCAACGAGGGAGCCAGCAGCAAGGCAAGGCUUUCUCCCUCAGGCAGAGGUCCCGGGACCAAAGGCCCCAGAACACCACCUCUCACCACAGCAGCGGCCCAAAACUGGAAGAGUCGGCACUCGUCCAAAAGCAGCCUUGCAUCCCCUGCUGAAGAAAUGGAAGACCCAGUAAAGGCCUUUGUCUCCACUGCAACAAGAAUUGCCCUUGCCUGGAACCAGGGAGCCAUGAGGGAGGCAAGGCUUCCUCCCGUGGGCAGACCUCCCAUGAGCAAAGGACACAAAACACCACCUCAGCCCGCAAGUGGGCCCCAGAAUUUAAAGAAGAGCUGGCACCAUGCCCCACACAGCCCUGCAGACUCUUGCACGGCACUGCAGGACACAGCACACUCCCGCGUGUCUGAAGUGCUGCAGAAGACGCAAAAAAGCUGGGAACACGGCCAACGAUCAGCAGCACUUGGGGACCUGGCACAAACGGGAUGCAAAUUGAGAGCAACAAGUUCAGCCGGGGUCCAGACAGACCUGGAGAGGACGUCGAUGACUUCUCUGCCAGGGCCUGAUUCCCGGGUAUGCGCAGGAGCAAGGGCUUCCAGCAGAGACCCUGCAGCAGCUAGCCCAGGCCAGGGUAAGAAGAAAAAACAACAGAAAGAGAAACACGUCAAACCCAGGCAGGGGACAGGCAACGAGGGGAAAAGCCAAGGCAAGGGCAGGAAGGAGAGCAGUCCUGGGGGAUGGGAUGAAGAGGAGGAGAUCGUCAUCCUCAACUCCUGGAUCAACCCCAGGUUCGCCAGCCUCUUCACAGACCCACAGGACGUUCCCCAGGAAGAGGGCAGCGCAGCCAGCAGUGUGGACAGGGAGGCAGCACAAGAAGCAGAACACCCAGCAAGCGCCUCUCCUGGCUCACUGCAAACCAUGGACACUGCCCGAUCAGCUGCUCCCCAGGAAGAAAUUCCUGGGGAAGAGAGGCACAGCACGCCUCUCACUUCAACAACAGCAGCCCAGAGAAGGCCAGCAAGUCUUCCAGCAGCCCCUGCUCUGGAAGAUGAGGGACACAGAGCGCCUCCCCUGACACGUGGGGCUCAACAGUCGAAGCCAGCAGCCUGUGCAAGCCCCAGUGAGCACAGCGCUGCCGUGAUGGUGGAGAGCCAGGGACGUGCCCGACAUGCCUGCAGUGUCUCUGAUGAAGAGCUGGAUGAAAGAGUUGACACCAUCGUGGCUGCAGUCCUACUCCACUCUGUAGCCAUCAUCCAGGGAGCCCCAAGCAAGGCAGCAAGUGCUCCCUGGGUCACAGUGCCCAGGGUGCCUCCUCCCACACCAGAGCCUGCAGAAUGUACAUCCUCGGCCUCUGCCUUGGCCGGAGGCCCUGUGGGGGAGGCCAAUGAAGCCCCUCUCGCUGCAGCAGCAGCGCCACAAGAAGAAGGUGGAGAAGGGGCUUCUCCUUUGGCUGCAGAGCCUCUCCGGGAGCCCAGCACAGAUCUCCGCCCAGCAGCAGCUGACGAAGCAGGAGCAGCAGCCGGUCCCUUGGUUCCUGGGCACCAGGUAAGCACAGCACGUGCCGUGGGCACCAGGCAUCCAGGGCAGCCCCAGGCAGAAGCAGUGCGUGGGAUAUGCAUGCCGGGAGCUGCCUGCUGCUCUGCAU
rnacentral:lncRNA from 1 species